AAGACUAUACCUCCAGGGACCGUUUCUAUAGUUCGCUACUAGAGAAGUUUCUCUGACUAUAUAGAGCACUCAAAACCACGAGGACAGGACGUGGCGUCCCCUCCUGAGCAUGAAGCCCGCUCUAGGUGUGAAACUACUUCAGUGCAGCUGCCUGUUGCCAUUGAUGAUCGCUCUUCUCUCCUUCGGGAGGGUGAGAGGGAGGCAACGUAGUCUGAGU